GGAGCCAUAGCUCAAUGGUAGAGCGCCUGUUCCCCCAGCAGGAGAUCCGGGUUCGAAUCCUGGUGGCUCCA
rnacentral:tRNA from 1 species